ACUCCGCUUCCUUCAAAGGAUCUGUGAAUUCUCUCAGCUUUCCUGAUGCAAGAAAAAGCAAACCACACAGACGAACUGCACACUGCAAUGAAGUUGGAAUGCAAGACUUCAUCAGAAGGGAGGGAACAAACUGGAUAAUUCAACCGCAAAAUAUGUGAACCACAAACGAGUAAAUACACAAGUAGACACAACACACACACGCACACACACACACACACACAUACACACGUCUGCUUUUUACCCAGGAAUUUUCAUCAAUGGAGUUUUAAAAAAGCAUAUAUAUCCCCCAGCAAAAGCAUAUGGAAAAUUUCACAUUUCUAUGUUUAAAUGCUUGGCUUUACACGUAUUGUGAAUAUUCUUUUAGAAAAGCACGAAAAAAUGGAAACAAGUUUUUUUUUAUCAGGCCAUAAACAGCAGAUUAAAGUUGAAAAUAAAUCACUAUGCCUAAAGUCUUCCUUUAAGACCCAGGCCUAAAAUGUUUCCCUAAAAUAUAUGAGUUUCCUGCAUGAAUCAUUUUUGUUAUCCUCUAUUAUACGUGCUCAUUUGUGUACAGGGCAAAACAUUUUUACCAAAUAAAUCAAUGUUAGGGAUAAAGAAACCCAUAGGUUGUCUUCUCCUUGGGUCUGACAAUUAAGUAAAAGAGCAAGGUGACUAAAACAUAAUAUUCUAAUAUCAAAUGUAAUCUUUUUGCCAG
rnacentral:lncRNA from 1 species